rnacentral:misc_RNA from 1 species
AACGCAUCUUGCGCCCCUUGGGUUUAUUCCGAGGGGCAUGCCUGUUUGAGUGUCGCGAACCACCCUCGAACCCCGAGUCUCGCUCGGGGUCUCGGACUUGGACGCCUGCGGCGGAUCCCGUCGCUCGUCUCUAAAUGCAUCGGUCGGCCCCGGGGCCGGAACGGACGGUGUGAUAAGGAGCCCAUCUUUUUGUGGCGCCGUCGUCUGGGCUCGGGCCGCGGAUCCUCCUCCCUCGGGAGGAGUGCCAUUCAAUGUCGUGUGACCUCAAAUCAGGUAGGACUACCCGCCGAACUUAA